rnacentral:rRNA from 1 species
CCUACGGGAGGCAGCAGUGAGGAAUAUUGGUCAAUGGUCGAGAGCCUGAACCAGCCAAGCCGCGUGAGGGAUGAAGGUACACGGUAUCGUAAACUUCUUUUGUCAGGGAACAAAGACUGGGACGCAUCCCCCGAUGAGUGUACCUGACGAACAAGCAUCGGCUAACUCAGUGCCAGCAGCCGCGGUAAUACGGAGGAUGCGAGCGUUAUCCGGAUUUAUUGGGGUUAAAGGGUGCGGAGGCGGUCUGUUAAGUCAGCGGUGAAAGCCCGGGGCGCAACCCCGGAACUGCCGUUGAAACUGGCAGUCUGGAGUGGGAGAGAGGUAAGCGGAAUGCGAGGUGUAGCGGUGAAAUGCAUAGAUAUCGCGAAGAACUCCGAUUGCGAAGGCAGCAUGCUGGCACCAAACUGACGCUGAGGAACGAAAGCGUGGGUAUCGAACAGGAUUAGAUACCCUAGUAGUC